rnacentral:rRNA from 1 species
UACGGGGGGGGCAAGCGUUGUUCGGAAUUACUGGGCGUAAAGGGCUCGUAGGUGGCCAACUAAGUCAGACGUGAAAUCCCUCGGCUUAACCGGGGAACUGCGUCUGAUACUGGAUGGCUUGAGUUUGGGAGAGGGACGCGGAAUUCCAGGUGUAGCGGUGAAAUGCGUAGAGAUCCGGAGGAACACCGAAGGCGAAGGCAGUGUCCUGGCUGGUGACUGACGCUGAGGUGCGAAAGCUAGGGGAGCGAACGGG